UCGUGGGUGAUACACUUCAACUGGUUGUGCAAAACUCUGCAACAUUAGUUGCUGGCCUCGUAAUUGCUUUCAUAUCAAACUGGGAGCUAUCUCUUAUCAUUUUGGCGUUGAUACCACUCAUCGGCCUGAAUGGAUGGAUCCAGAUGAAAUUUAUCCAGGGAUUCAGUGCAGAUGCAAAGGUAUAUACCAGAAAUCAUAAAAAUGCGGAUUUAUUUAUUUCUCAAUCUAUUGUGCAAUCUCUAUGUUGAUCAGAAUUAGGUAGUUACAAAUACUUCUGUUAUGUUGGGUCACUGAUUCUCAACUAUGAUUGUAGAUGAUGUACGAGGAGGCAAGUCAAGUGGCAAAUGAUGCAGUAAGUAGCAUAAGGACAGUGGCCUCAUUUUCAGCUGAAGAGAAGGUGAUGGAUUUGUACAACAAAAAGUGCGAAGGACCGCUACAAACAGGAAUCAGGACAGGAAUAAUAAGUGGUAUUGGUUUUGGAGUUUCCUUCUUUUUGCUGUUUGGAGUCUACGCAGCAAGCUUCUAUGCUGGUGCUCGGCUUGUCGAGGAUAAGAAGACAACAUUUCCCAAAGUUUUCAGGGUAUGUCGUAUGUUCAUUAUGAGAUCUUUACAUAUUUCAGCAUUCAAUCAUAAGCAAGCUCUUCCAUUUCAAUACACACAGAUCAAUCAUACAUUGCCACAUAAAUUCAAACCAGAAGGUGGCUAGUAUCUUAACAACAGUUAGAAUGCCGUGUCUGGUUAAUUGUUACUUUGGAGUUGCUAAAGAUUAUUGUACCUUGGGCAUGUUAAAUUGCAGGUGUUUCUUGCUCUCACAAUGGCAGCAAUCGGGGUAUCGCACACUAGCACCCUCACCUCAGAUUCCUCCAGAGCAAGAUCAGCCGUAUCUUCUAUAUUCGCCAUCGUGGACCGUAAAUCGAUGAUUGACCCAAGCGAUGACGCCGGGGUGAAUUUAGAACCACUAAGGGGCGACAUCGAGUUUCGGCACGUGAGGUUCAGAUACCCGACCCGCCCGGAUAUCCAGAUCUUCGAAGACCUGUGCUUGACAAUCCAGUCAGGAAAGGUACCAGCCUCAACCCACAACCCAGAUUUAACCUAUCUCAGCUAACAACGCACAAGUUUGCCAAACUGAACCUAACUAACUAUCUGCGCCGUGAACCUGUCUCUCAGACCGUCGCGCUUGUCGGGCAGAGCGGCAGCGGCAAAUCGACAGCAAUAUCGCUGCUGCAGCGAUUCUACGACCCUGACGCAGGCCACAUACUUCUGGACGGGGUGGACAUCCAGAAGUUCCAGGUGAGGUGGCUGAGGCAGCAGAUGGGGCUGGUGAGCCAAGAGCCAGCCCUCUUCAACGACACGAUCCGGGCAAACAUCGCCUACGGGAAGGAAGGGGAGGCCACGGAAUCGGACAUCGUAUCCGCCGCGCAACUGGCGAACGCCCACAAGUUCAUCAGCUCACUCCAACAGGUGAGGACUCAUUCUUUCAUCCACAGAUCGACAUAGCUGCAUUUCAUGUUCAUAAUAUCUCAUCGUGGAUUGGUCGAUCAUACCUGGAUUUUUUUGAAAUUUCUCGUCGUGGAUUGAUCGAUGAUACCUGAAUUGUUUGCAGGGGUACGGCACGGUGGUCGGGGAGCGCGGCGCGCAGCUGUCGGGAGGGCAGAAGCAGCGGGUGGCGAUCGCGCGGGCGGUGGCCAAGGACCCCAGGAUCCUGCUGCUGGACGAGGCGACGAGCGCGCUGGACGCGGAGUCGGAGCGGGCGGUGCAGGACGCGCUGGACCGGGUGGCGGCGAGCCGGACGACGGUGGUGGUGGCGCACCGCCUGUCGACGGUGCGGGGCGCCGACGUGAUCGCGGUGGUGAAGGACGGCGCGAUCGUGGAGCGGGGCACGCACGAGGCCCUGAUCGCCGUCAAGGGCGGCGCGUACGCGUCCCUCGUCGCCCUCCACUCCGCGGCGGCGCCGUCGUCGUAGCGCCGCUCCAAGAGGGGCGCUCGCGGAAUUGUUGGGGGUGGCACGCCUGCUAAUUAUUACCACGUUCGGUUCAGGUGUCAGCUCGCUGUGAAAAUGAAACCCUAUCCGAAGACCUACGCACGAACGCUUUAUAUUUCUUUGUUAGAAAAGGAACAAAAAAGUUCUAUAUAGGAAUAACAAUACCCAAAUAUUAUCUUCUAUCAAAAUAAUCUUACUC
rnacentral:lncRNA from 1 species